AUGGAUCUCUCGCGGCCAGAGUCGUCGGACCUCUCGCUCGGGCUCCACCCGCACGCCCACGCGCGCGUGCACGCGCGCGCCGCCACGCCGCUGCGGCUGUUCGACGACUCGGACGACGUCAAGACGGAGGGCAGCGUCGGGGGCGGCGGCGACGGCGAGGACGGGGACGACGAGGGCGCCGACCAGCACUUCUCGCUCCUCGGCCACUCGCUCUGCGUCAAGCGCCCGCGCCGCGGCCUCUACGGCGGCGGCGGGGGAGGGGAGACCUCCUCCUGCUCGUCAUCGUCCGCGGCGGCCCUGCGCCCCGCCAAGCGCCAGGCGUCGGGCGCGGAUCUGGAGGCGCGGCGCGGCGCGGUCCGCGCGUGGGGGAACCAGCCGCUCGCGGAGGCCGACCCGGAUGUGCACGCGCUCAUGGAGCGCGAGAGGGAGCGCCAGGUGCGCGGCAUCGAGCUCAUCGCCUCGGAGAACUUCGUCUGCCGCGCCGUGCUCGACGCCCUCGGCAGCCACCUCACCAACAAGUACUCCGAGGGGCACCCGGGCGCUCGGUACUACGGCGGGAACCAGCACAUCGACGCCAUCGAGCGCCUCUGCCACGAGCGCGCCUGCACCGCCUUCGGCCUCGACCCCGCCUGCUGGGGUGUCAAUGUCCAGCCCUACUCAUGCACCUCCGCAAACCUGGCUGUCUACACAGGGCUUCUCCUACCCAAUGACCGUAUCAUGGGCCUUGAGCCGCCGUCUGGUGGCCAUGUCAGCCACGGAUACUACACGCCUAGUGGUAAGAAGGUGUCUGGCGCCUCGAUAUUCUUUGAAAGCUUGUCAUACAAGGUGAAUCCACAGACUGGCUAUAUUGAUUAUGACAAGCUUGAGGACCGGGCAAUGGAUUUCCACCCCAAGAUUCUUAUCUGUGGUGGGAGUUCCUACCCCAGGGAAUGGGACUUUGCACGGAUGAGGCUGAUAGCUGAUAAGUGUGGUGCAGUGCUCAUGUGCGACAUGGCGCAUAUUAGCGGACUUGUUGCAGCAAAGGAAUGUCGCAGUCCAUUCGACUACUGUGACGUUGUUACAUCAACUACUCACAAGAACCUAAGGGGUCCUAGAGGUGGAAUAAUAUUUUUCAGGAAAGGGAAGAAUAUGAGGAAGCGAGGUGGAUCUUUUUCUCAAGGGGAUGAAAAUGAUUAUGAUUUUGAGGAUAAGAUAAAUUUCGCUGUAUUCCCUUCACUGCAAGGAGGGCCGCAUAAUAACCAUAUUGCUGCUUUAGCGAUAACGCUGAAGCAAGUUGCGACGCCUGAAUAUAAAGCAUACAUUCAACAAGUUAAGAAAAAUGCUCAAGCUUUGGCAUCGGCCUUGCUCAGAAGAAAAUGCAGAUUGGUUACUGGUGGCACUGAUAAUCACUUGGUGCUUUGGGACCUCAGAACUUUUGGCUUGACCGGGAAGAACUUUGAGAAGGUCUGUGAGCUGUGCCACAUCUCUAUAAACAAGACACCGAUAUAUGGGGACAAUGGCUCAAUAUCUCCCGGUGGCGUGCGUAUUGGAACACCUGCAAUGACUACUAGAGGUUGCCUUGAAGAUGACUUCGAGGUGAUUGCAGACUUCCUCAUCAGGGCGACACAGAUAGCUGGCAGUGUUCUGAAACAACACGGAAAAGUGCAGAAGGAAUUUCUAAGAGGCCUGGAGAACAAUAAGGACAUUAUAGAGCUCGGUAACCUGGUCGAGGCUUUCGCAUCACAGUUUGCGAUGCCAGGUUUUGAUGUAUGA
rnacentral:rRNA from 1 species